AGUAUUGGGGAGAAGAGGGAAAGUAUUAGGGAGAAGAGGGAGAGUAUUCUGGAGAGUUGGGGAAAGAAAGAGAGUAUUAUGGAGAGUUGGGGGAAGGAGAGUAUUCUGGAGAGUUGGGGGAAGAGAGAGAGUAUUGGGGAGAAGAGAGAAAGUAUUGGGGAGAAGAGGGAGAGUAUUCUGGAGAGUUUGGGGAAAAGAGGGAGAGUAUUGGGGAGAAGAGGGAGAGUAUUCUGGAGAGAUGGGGGA
rnacentral:lncRNA from 1 species